GCCAGCUGACACCCAGCUUCCCUGGUGCAGGCAUUGCUUCUGUUUUUUUUUUUUUUUUUUUUUUUUCUUUUCGGAGCUGGGGACUGAAUCCAGGGCCUUGCGCUUGUUAGGCAAGCACUCUACCACUGAGCUAAAUCCCCAACCCCAGGCAUUGCUUCUGAAACCCCAUGAUACAUCUUUGGUUUUGGUGAUGGGCACUUCAUUUAGUAUCAUAACCUCAGGCUGUUUGUCCUGCUGAUGCUGGCUUUGCCUUGUAAGGACAGAUCGUUCUCCUGAGGAGAGGAGAGCACGUCUGUUCAGUGUUCUAAGCAGAUUUGUUUCUUCCCCAUUAGUCAUCUAACUACUAUCCAUUUAAAUUCAUAUUUUUCUGUGGUUUAUAGUCAUCCAUAUACUUUUUGGGCAGACUUCCAGUUUUUUUUUAUGAUAUAAUACUUUAUAAGCUUUCAAUAAAUUCUGCAUUAUAGAGCAACUAAAAAAUAAA
rnacentral:lncRNA from 1 species